CACACAUAUCCAGGCUACAAUAAAUGGUUUCCUAAAGAAAAUCAAAUCCAAACCUGGCCAAAAGAGCACUCUUCCUUGGCUAAAUGGAGAAAUUUGGAAAUUGAUGAAAGAACGAGAUUAUGCUCUAAAAACAGCCCUAAAAUCCAAAUUAGAGCAUGACAGACGUAGGUUUACCAUGUUGAGAAAUAAGGUGAUGAAAGAAAUCAGACAGGCCAAGGCAAACUUUUUUAUUAACAUAAUUGGUGAGGCAAAGGGAAAUUCAAAAUUGAUCUGGGAGAAUCUAAAAAAGUUAACAGGGAAAGACCAUAGUAACACUGCAAAAAGACUAGAAAUCAUGGUGAAUAACAAUCUAACACAGGAUGCAGUCGAAAUAGCAAUAGCCUUCAAUUCCUACUUUAUUGACUCUGUCAAGGUACUGACACAGAACCCCUCCACUGGUUUAUUGGGCUCAGUGCUAGUGAAUGACGCUCAACCUGUCUUCAUCAUAAGGGAGGUUUCUGAGUCAAAGGUGAACAAGGUGAUUAGCUCACUAAAGAACUCUAAAUCCAAAGAUGUGUUUGGGCUGGACUCUACCUUUCUUAAAAACUACAAAGAGUCACUCAUUGGCCCCAUUACUAAGGUCACCAACACAUCUAUUGGUCUGGGGGUGUUUCCAAGGGUAUGGAAGUCAGCCAUAAUAAUGGCCAUCUUUAAAUCGGGCGACCCUGCUGACGUGAGUAACUACAGGCCCAUUAGUAUACUACCUGUAGUGUCGAAGGUUGUUGAAAAGUGUGUAGCAGAACAACUGAUUUCCCACCUCAACAACAGCCCCUUCACAUUACACUCCAUGCAGUUUGGCUUCAGAGCGAAACACUCCACAGAAACGGCCAACUGCUUUCUUCUGGAAAAUGUGAAGUCCAAGAUGGACAAAGGGGGCGUUGUUGGGGCUGUGUUUCUGGAAAUUACGGUAGUCAUUCUGCACGCAGACAAGCAGCUAAAAACAACUCUACGGUGCAGUUCUUUCAGUGUAGCUAUUUCUUGCUUCGGCCUCUGAAAAUAUUUUUUUGUAAGUUCAAUUCAAGCAUAUUGCUAGUGAUGAUAAUAUUGUAAUUGAUAGAAUUGCUUACUUAUCAAAGUUAGUUGGUUACAUUUACUCACGCAAAUUGCCUUGCCUUUCAUGUAUCCCAUCAGCUGUAUUAGUUUGCUCGUGCAUCAUGUAAGUGAAUUGUAACACAUACUAUAGUUUUGUUACUGUUUCUAGUGUAAGAUGCUUUGUUAAUGUACAGAGGUGUUUGCACAUUAUUGGAGUAAUGAAAGGAGUUGGCUAGUUGCUACUCAUAUGGUAAUUAUCUGCCUUGG
rnacentral:lncRNA from 1 species